AGAGUUUGAUCAUGGCUCAGAAUGAACGCUGGCGGCAUGGAUUAGGCAUGCAAGUCGAACGGCAGGGCAGCAAUGCCCGAGAGUGGCGAAAGGGUGAGCAACGCGUGGGGAACCUGCCCCGGGGACCGGAACAAGCCUGUGAAAACGGGUCUGAAACCGGAUGAUGCCCCGCACCGCAUGGUGCGGAGGCGAAAUAUUCAUAGCCCCGGGAGGGCCCCGCGUCCCAUUAGCUUGUUGGCGGGGUGACGGCCCACCAAGGCGACGACGGGUAGGUGGUCUGAGAGGAUGGUCACCCACACUGGGACUGAGACACUGCCCAGACUCCUACGGGAGGCUGCAGUCGAGAAUCUUCCGCAAUGGGCGCAAGCCUGACGGAGCGAUGCCGCGUGGGGGAAGAAGGCCUUCGGGUUGUAAACCCCUGUCGGACGGGACGAAACCAAACGACGGUACCGUCCAAGGAAGCCACGGCUAACUACGUGCCAGCAGCCGCGGUAAUACGUAGGUGGCGAGCGUUAUUCGGAUUUACUGGGCGUAAAGGGUCCGCAGGGGGCGCGCCGCGCCCGCCGUGAAAGACCGGGGCUCAACCCCGGGCCUGCGGCGGGUACGGGCGCGCUGGAGUGCCGCCAGGGCAGAUGGAAUUCCGGGUGUAGCGGUGGAAUGCGUGGAUAUCCGGAAGAACACCGAUGGCGAAGGCGAUCUGCUUCGCGGCGACUGACCCUCAUGGACGAGAGUGUGGGUAGCAAACAGGAUUAGAUACCCUGGUAGUCCACACCGUAAACAUUGUGCGCCAGGCGACGGGGGGUUCGGCCCCUUCGGCGCCCAAGCCAACGCGGUAAGCGCACCGCCUGGGGACUACGGCCGCAAGGCUAAAACUCAAAGGAAUUGACGGGGGCCCGCACAAGCGGUGGAGCAUGUUGCUUAAUUCGAUGCAACGCGAAGAACCUUACCCGGGAUUGACAUGGACAGGACGCGCGGUGAAAGCCGCGUUCCCCUCGGGGCCUGUCCACAGAUGCUGCACGGCUGUCGUCAGCUCGUGUCGUGAGAUGUUCGGUUAAGUCCGGCAACGGGCGCAACCCGUGCCGCCAGUUACCAUCAGGUGAAGCUGGGGACUCUGGCGGGACCGCCCGUGUCAAGCGGGAGGAAGGCGCGGAUGACGUCAAGUCAGUAUGGCUCUUACGCCCGGGGCCGCAAACGUGCUACAAUGGCCGGUACAGAGGGCAGCGAGGCCGCGAGGCCCAGCGAACCCGGAAAGCCGGCCCCAGUUCGGAUUGCAGCCUGCAACUCGGCUGUAUGAAGUCGGAAUCGCUAGUAAAGGGGCAUCAGCUACGGCCCCUUGAAUACGUUCCCGGGCCUUGUACACACCGCCCGUCACAUCAUGGGAAUCGAAUCCGCCCGAAGUCGCUGGGCCGACCGCAAGGGUGCAGGCGCCGAAGGCGGGUUCGACGACUGGGAUGAAGUCGUAACAAGGUAGCCGUGGGGGAACCAGCGGCUGGAACACCUCCUU
rnacentral:rRNA from 1 species